CUGUUUAGUAUAUAUUGCCGCACUUGCUAAUUUAUUUGUUGAUUUUAACGAGGGAGGGGAAAUUUAUGAAUAUGCAAUAACAGAAAUGAAAAAGAAGUUAAAAAAAUAUUUUUUUUCCAAUCCCUCCUAUAUAUGGUGUGUCUGCUAUACUAAAUCCUACUAUGAAAUUAGGAGGACCUCACUUUUUGUAUUCUAGUAUUUAUCAAGCUUUAGAUCUUGAUGAAGAAGAAAUGGCUACACUAUCUGAUGC
rnacentral:lncRNA from 1 species